rnacentral:lncRNA from 1 species
UUUACACUGCAAAAUGAAAACUUUCAUUGUUUUAUUCUUGACUGCAGCUGUUUACAGAAAUAUAGUUGCGAGUAUACAAAUGUCCCAAUAGAAGCAAAAUAUUUUUGUUUUUUAAUAUUCAACAAGUUAUCACAGGAUAGCUAAAAACAUAGAUGCAAAUAAAAUAUCCCCUCGUAGAACAAACUGAAAACACUGGGUAUCAGUGCUUGGAAAACCCCCAACUACGAAAGCCAUAUACACAGAAAUGCACAAAGGAAUAUCUGGUGCUACUUUCACAUUGCAGGACAGUGGAAGAGGCAGCUCAGCAGUUGACCGGUGCCCCAGGAAAGCAUGGCAGAAAGGUGGGUAAAGCCACUCCAAGAUGCAGCUAGUGACAGAGGUAGAAAGCUCUGCUCUCAAGGUUUGUUGGAGCUUACUCCUUAAUAAUGAGCUCAAACGUAAGUAGUUCAAAUCACGUCCGCAAUAAAAAGGCUUCAGGAAUACUGUGGUCUACUAAGCAGGACAUGGGAAUGUGUGCACAGUUCUGCAACACCCCGAGGCACUGCUCUCUAUCCUUCCAAAAGGGAGCUUCCCCCGAGCACUGUUAUCCCAACCUCUGCAACAGCCACACUCCUGAACAAGGGACACUCGGAUCAGACCAGCCCCAGCUCAGAGGGGCAGCUCCAGGGACCACAGCGAAGUCAUGGACAUCUACACGAUCCCAACACAGGGCCCUUGACUCAUCUGAGUCCUGGAGCAAACAAACACAACUGGAGUAUUUCACAGUGCUGCUGGGUGGUGGAGGUUUGGAGUCUGAACCAAGCAGAGUGUCGGUGAGUGUCCCACAGCAAGCAGAGGAAUCCUGGGGUUCCUCACCCCCAAAACACUUGAAUAUUGUGAGGCAAUUUCAUGAACUGUAACAGCAAAAAUUACAGAUCUCUGGAACAGCAGAGAUGAGACCUGCAAAAUGAUGGCUCAAAGAGAGGAAAUCAGGGCAUUUGCAUUCAGUUUGGCAGAGUUGCUUGGAUAGAGCCUGUACCAGGACAACAAUGUUCAGUGAUCAACCUCCUGUCAAACUGCACCUGAUUCGUCAUCAAGAGUCCUGGUGAAUAAAAUACACACCAGUGACACGACAAUCUGGAUUUCUUUGAGAAAGUUUAGCUCCUCACACAAUCUAAGUAAGAGAUCAGCGUACAGGGUCCCUCAUGCCUGAAAACCAAGGAGAGCUCUCACCAGCUUCCAAGGAGUUUUGUAGAUAUGGACUGUUGCAGUAAAAUGUCAGAUUAAAGAAAGUAAACAUGCCUGUCUCUAUGAUAAGAGAGAGGAGUGACAGAAUAAGCUUAACCUUCUCGAUCCAAACACAACCCAGCUGAGCUGCAGCCUGAUUCUUUGCUCUGCAACAACUAUAACCCACCAGCAGAGAGCUGCUGGCCUCAGCCCAGCUCCUCCGGAGCAACACGGCCACCACCAUUCCCUACCUGCACGAGCUGCAGGAGACUGAGAACGGGAAAAGGUCCCCAAAUCAGGAGUAACCCAUGGAAAGCUGGCAGGGGAGCACACGGAUGCAGACAGCCCAUGCUGCCGCCGCAUCUCCAGAGCCCAUCCAGCAGCAGCUCUGCCCAGGGCUGUCAGUUCGAGUGCUUCGCUACCCCACAGCUGAAACUAUGAAUAAAAACAUAUAAAAGUACAAAAGUGUACAGCUGUUUCCAACCCACAGCUAUCAGUGACGUUCACAAGCAGAGCAAUGCUACCAACAGCACCACAUGUACGGUACUCAAGUGUUCAGACAACUAUUAAUGAAUAACUACAAAACCCUUGGUAAAUGACCUCAUACUAAGGAAAAGUAGUAUUAUUUCAGGUUUAUAAAAAUGUAAAUAUAACAGUAUUCUAUGCAUGUGCCUACUUAUCAUUUGUGUAUAAUAGAUAUGAUUCCUCUAUAUACAUAUAUAUAAUCCUAGAAUAUACAGGCAUUGCCUAUUUACAUACUUAUACAGACUGUAAGAAAGGAAAAGCUGCUCCCUCCUGCGUGACCCCUCAGAGCCCCAAACUCCAUUAAAGAACUUUACAAGUACACUUCUACCAGAGUUCAUCUGCUGCUGCAAGUUUCUUUAUCCCAUUUCAACAGCUCACAAUCUAUCUCAAAAGACUGCUCCAAAUUGAAACAAAUCCCCCAGCCAAAGAAAGCAUCUCAGUGCUUGUUUCCUUUUAGCUGCUAAAAGACUGGAACUGUCACCAGUCCUCCAGAACACAACAAACACCUAUUCCUUGAAAAUAAACACUGCACUAAUGAAAAGUCACCAGUGAUCAAUAGUUCUUCUCAACUUCCACACACACCUCAUAGCUCAGAGCAUGCAAAGCAAUUCAUUCUCCUUGUUCUUGCCUCUGUCGCUGCCUGUAAUCCCUCGUACUCCUUUCGUGGAAUUACCCUGAAAAAGCAGCCCCAGUUUGCUGCACAGAAGCACUGUAGAGAGCCAAACACUGACAGGCAAACUCUUUCCUCUUAAUGAACAUACCCUUAGGGGAAACCACGUGCAGCUUUUUUAGUCCAGCAACAACUUUUGGAUUUUGCUUUUUAAUAAAUCAUCUUUCCUCUUCCUCAAAUAAUGAUUUAAACUAGGUUUUAAGACAAAUGCAAGCUUCUGACUUGAUUAGUAUUCUUUCUGAAGACUCUGGAAAGGUAAUAGAAAAUCCGUUCAGACAAGUUUUCUAUUUAGAAACGAUAUCCUAAACCAAAAUCACAAUAGAAGCUUAAAAAGUAAAUAAAUACAAAUAAAUCAACUUAUCUAAAUUAGGGGAAUGUCCACUGAUACAGCUGCCCAGACUCUCAGUUUUUCCAGUUAAAAAACCUGCCAAAGUGACAAAUGCUGAACUGCUCAUGCUUUAUUCUACUUUAAAACUAUACAGGAAGUAACCACGCUAUCAGUAAUUAGAAGUAAUCAUAAUGAAAUGAUUGGUGAUUAAACAUCCACUUUGAAUCAGCAAGCCUGAAAUAAUUUCUGGAACUACUUUUAUAUUAAAAUAAUAAAAAAACAUUUGGCUUGAAUAACUGCUGAAAGAUCAGACAGUGAGGAGGCAAUUAAUAACAAAACGUGGACUUGCUAAUUAAGCACAAAGAUCCAAUAACUUCCUGCCAGAGGAGAUGCUGACAACUGUGUAUUAUGUGCUAUUCAUACAAUUUUUAUACAUAUAUACACACAUAUACCCAGUGUAUAAGCAGCCAAGAGAAUGCAUGCAGCAGUCAUGACUGGCAGCUAGCAGGUUAAUUCUCCCCAGAUUUUAACCUGUGCCAACAAAUGGGUGUUCUGUGAACCCAACACCCCACAGACGCUGCGCAGAGCGGACCAUGGGUGAGUUAGAGGCACAUGCUCAAGAGUACUGCCCACACUGAACACGGAGGUUUAGACUUCUUGGUUCUUUCAGAAGUGAGCUCAAGGCAGCCGAAAAAACCAAGACACUUAAAACCCAUCCCAGCAAUGCAGCUCUACAGUUUUCCAUUUUCACCCAGUAGUAUCUUCGACACUUUAUUGCUGCUUUGCGGAUAUGACAGUAACUUCCCCUUUAGAGUAAUGGCAUCGAGAACUUCAAAUUUAUAGAGACUAAUAUCUCAGUAUCUUCUUUCUCACCCAAAAUGGACUAGACAUGAUGCCACCGCCUCACCUCUGCAGGCAACUACUGAGAAUCCAUCUACUCACAGAUCCCAGGCAAUCCAGAGUGAGCAUGCAGAGUAGUAAAUACAGGGAUGGGAUUAAAAUAAAAGAAAAAAAUCAGAGUAAGCUCCAAUUAUCAAUACCAACUGCUUAAAUGCCAAAAGUAAAUGUUCAGGACUGAUAAAAUACAGAUGUGGCUCACACUCUUCUUGGGUCUUUCUGCCAUGAAAUCCUGCAGCCCGUCUUUAAGCUCUUUUAACUGGCUUAUCAAACCUCUGUUUAUCCUCUGUAACAGCUGUCUGCAAGCACUGAUCAACCACUGAGCAAUCUCUUCAUUCAGAAGACAAAUACUUUUUGUAACCAAAUCACAUGUUCCAAGUGUUGUACAUUUAAACAUUGACCUAAAAUGAACACGAUAAAUUUAACACAAGAAAAGGUGUUAUCCAGAAGUGAAAAACGUGAUAGCACAGCCCUUUUUUAUUAUUUUACAUUUUUUUUCUCUUCUCUUCACGAGCGACCCAAAACACGCACACAAUUCAGACAUACCCUUCCCCUGGAGCUGUAGCAGUCUUGGUAUGAAGUUCUCUUUUGGACACCCAUCUUGUUAAAUGGAGAAUUGGUCCCUGGUGACUUGGCACUGACCAACCACACUUCCACGUAAGGAUACACCCCUUUGGAACAACAGAACAAACUGAAGCAGCACACAAGUGAAUUUAUCAUUCCUGUUACUUCUUCUGUGUAUGAAGGCUCUGGACAACACCCAGCA